rnacentral:misc_RNA from 1 species
AAGUCGUAACAAGGUUUCCGUAGGUGAACCUGCGGAAGGAUCAUUAUUGAGAAAAUUAGUAGUACUGUUGCUGGCCUUGUAAUGAGGUAUGUGCACGUUCUAUUAGUCCUUAAUCCACCUGUGCACUUAUUGUAGGAGUUCUUUGAGGGUUAGUUUGUCUUGUACAAGCUGACUUUAAAAGGCUUCUAUGUCUUAUAAACCCAUUAGUAUGUUCUAGAAUGUCUUUUAUUGGGACUUUACUGGCCCUUUAAACUUGUACAACUUUUAGCAACGGAUCUCUUGGCUCUC